AGACUGCACACUUAACUCAAUUAAUUAUUCACUAAGCAAAAAGCAUUCCUACAAAUUAGUUAAUUACUAAUCACUCUUUCGAUUAGAAAAGAAUUAAUAAACUAUAAGCUUAACGUUUAAAAAAUGUAUUAAAACUCCAAGGUCCAUCUGGAUGAUUAAAAGCAUUUCCUAUUAAUCACUCUUUGGAUAAAAAGAAAAGUAAGAAGAAAUAAUUAAUAAACUAUC
rnacentral:lncRNA from 1 species